CUCCUGCCGGGGCGGGCCGAGGCCCCGAGCCCCGGGGUGCCGCCGGAGCAGAGCCGGCCCUACGCGGUGCUGCGGGGGCAGAACCUGGUGUUGAUGGGAACCAUCUUUAGCAUCCUGCUGGUGACCGUCAUCCUUAUGGCAUUUUGUGUCUACAAGCCCAUCCGUCGACGGUGACGGUCACACAAGGAAGUCCUGCUCCAAGUUUCCGAGACAGAAGUUACGCAUGGGCCACUGGAUACGGAAGAAUCAGAACUUCUAGGCAGGCGGUAAAAUGCUACAGGGUCAGGGAAGCAUCUGGCAGUAAUUGUUUCCCUCACCUCCGUAUUGGCUACUGAUUCAGCAUCUUUUCUUUUUGUUUGUUUGGCUGUGCUGGUUAAAAGUAAAGCCUGAAGCUCCCAGGGUCCUUGUAAAGACCAUUGCAGAGUGUUCAGAAGAACCAGUCCCAGGACUAAUCCCUAAUGCUUGAAGUAGUAAGAGGAAGACUUAACAUGUAGACCUCCCCCGCUUUCCGUCUUUCUCUAACAGUGUGGUCAUCACACGCGGGAUGACUCAGCAGAUGAAGGCACUUGCCACCAAGGCCGAUUAUGAUUCCUGGAACUCACCUGAUGGAGAGAACUGCCCCAUGGGUGGUUCUCUGACCUCCGCACAGGAAUAAGUAAAUAUACACACACACCACAUCUCACUCUACUGAGCUGCCCUCGAAUACCCUGGUUGUGAAGCACUGUUAAUUUAGGGAACUUAGCCAUCAUUCCUUGCUGCGUGGGUGCUGAGCCAGAGUUGCAUCCUAGGUCUGUGAUCGUGUGCUCCUAUCCCUCCUUGGUCUGGAAGGUUCUGGGUGGCUCAGACAUACAGAUAUCCUGACGGGUGGCAACCUGAGACUUGGUCUCCCUCUCUCCCCAGGUGUAGAGGGUUCAGCCAUGUGUCCCCCGUGCAAACUGCUGUUUACAAGACUGUCUGCUUUCCAAGUGCUGCUACUGAACUAGAUUCCCCCGUUGGUACUUUCUGUUGUUAUAGAGGUUAUUAUUUAUUUUAAUUUUGCUAUAAGUUGUUAUGCUUAAUCAUGUAUUGCCCUCAAACACAGCACUGGCCUUUUGUGUUUUAACUUAACAGCCUGCACUGAUGUGAACGGCGCCCAACUGUGGGGUCACAUCUGGAACCCUGUAACCCUGAGCCAUUAAAUGUCAGUUACAUUGAAGAGAAA